UUCUUGCGACUUUUCUGAAAUUGUGCCAAAAUGAAAAUAUUUUUUAAAAGAGUUCUGUUACUAGAUGAUCUCUAAGACUCUUCAGUUUCUGUGAAAAGGUAGCAUUAUCCUCAUUUUACAGAUGGGGAACAGGAAACAGGACGAGGAUGGCUCCUCUGCAGAAGCGGGAGAGCUCUAGAACUUAGGGUCUCCAACUCAAGUCCUCGCCCUCCACCAGACCCAGCGCUCCUGCCCACGAGGGAGGGGAAGCCCAGACAUCACCCCAGGCACCGGAUGAGAACCACAGAGCAAAAAGCAAGUUGAACAUCAAAGUCCAUUGCUCCAGCCCAUACCCUCCCCCUGGCCUUUAUUGCUCUCUGAAGAGUCAAAAUAAAAGGUAAGAUAAUCUACUCCCCAAGGUGUUGCACCUUCUACUUUGAGUGUCACCCCUGGGCCAAGUCAUUUCUCUGCUGGCUUGAACAAGUUCAGGCUGGGUACAGAGAGCUCCCCCCACCAUGCCAGACCAGGCUAGAUCCAGAGAGGGGAGUCUGUGCCUUCCCAACUGGGAUCAUUGUGGCCCUGCACCCUGAGCUCCUGAGCUCCAGGGGAGAAUAUGGAAAUAGAUUUCCAGUGGGGCACUGGAGACUGUCCCCAAGAGAUGCCCAUCCUGCUUUUCCUGGUAUUAUGGAUCCCUCACUCUUCUUCUACUAUCCUCUCCAUCCUAGGACACUCUUCUGAGCCUGUGGACACCAAUUGGGCCCUAUCUUCCAGGAGUACAAGAAAGAAGCAGAGAGGAAGACUUGAACCCACAGCCUAGGCAAGCUCCACUGGGCCUUGAGCUCUGGGUCACUUUUUUUCCUCUCUCUCUCACUGUCCUUAGCUUCAUUUCCUCUGGUGCUAAUGCAUGAGGCUUUUCUAAAUACUACUAAAAUUUCCUUUUGGCCUUAGGAUAUGCUCUGAUCCUAGACAAUAAAUUCAACCCGAUUUUGCAUAGAUUAAAAAAAAAGUUUUCCACAGGUCCUGGGGGCUAAGCUGAUAAGCUAUUACUAGGUCCUUAUCUAGGGGUUUGGAGGCAAAGCUCCCAAGAGUAAUCAAGCGCUACACAGUCUGGCCUUGCCAUUGUCCCAGGUACAAGGAUUCUCUGCGGGGCCCUUGUAGGGAGGAGGAGGAGUCAGGCUAAAUCAGGACUUGUUAUUCAGACCCUGGGUACGCCAUCAGCAUAUCCCAAAGAACUCUAGAAGACACAAAACAUCAAAACCUGGAGAAUGAGGCCACAGUAGAACUUAGAGAAAGAGUCAUAUUUUUAAAUGUGUUUGUGAUCAAAGAAGAAAAAGAAAAGUAGAAAAAGAGAAAAAAUAGAAAGAGUGUCCUAGGGAUCCAACUGAGAAUCUGGAAAAAGCACAUACCAAAUAAACCUAAAGAAAAGACAAUAAAGACUAAGCAGAAAUUAAUGCUUUCGAAAACAGAAGGCACAACUGGCAAAUCUCUGCACUUUUAAAUUACAUAAAACUCUGGCAAAGCUGAGGAGGGAAAAGUGAAAAAAUUAAAUACGACAAUAGGAAUUAAGAAAGUGAAAAAAAUCAUAAAUACUGAGGGAACUAAAAAGCAAUAACUGUAUACACAUUAUGCUAAUAAAUUUGAAAACAGAUCAUUUUCGUGGAAAGCACAAAGUAAAUGUUUCAUACCAAUAGCUACAGGGAAAAAAUAAAUCAGAAAGCAAAAAAGAACCAUCCCUCAAAAAAGGUACCAGGCUCAGAAGGUUUCAAGAGCAGAUUUUUUUUCAAAUCCUUAAGGAAUUAAAUUAUUCUUUAAACUGUAUCAUUUAAAUACUUCCAGCGCAUAAAGAAUAAACGUUUCAUGAUCCAUUAUAUGAAGUUACUAUUACUCUAAUACCAAUAUCUGAUAAUGAAAACACAAGAGGAUAAUUAUAGGUCAAUCUCAUUCACAA